rnacentral:rRNA from 1 species
UACGAAGGGUGCAAGCGUUACUCGGAAUUACUGGGCGUAAAGGGUGCGUAGGCGGCUCGUUAAGUCUGUCGUGAAAUCCCCGGGCUCAACCUGGGAAUGGCAAUGGAUACUGGCAAGCUAGAGUGUGUCAGAGGAUGGUGGAAUUCCCGGUGUAGCGGUGAAAUGCGUAGAGAUCGGGAGGAACAUCAGUGGCGAAGGCGGCCAUCUGGGACAACACUGACGCUGAGGCACGAAAGCGUGGGGAGCAAACAGG